GGCAUGAAGCCUUGCCCAGCUGGCAUCAUAGGCUCACCUCAGGACUGAUACACUUCUUCCCUUUGCUGUGAGGAAGUGGGGGAUCUCAUUUAUCCUCAAAACAACCCUAUGAGGCCUCCUCUGAGGACCGGCUAGCGGCGGGAGAGGCCCCAGGGCGGUCGCACAGGCUGGGAGCAGUCUGGGGGGGCAUAGGCCGGCUGUGCUCAGGCCAGCGCCCAGGCCCCCUGACCUGCCUGUGUCAGGGGCAGGUUGCCUGGAGGGCAGGGCAGGCCCUCUGGAUGCGCUUUGAGGAGCCCCCACCGAGAGCCGCAUGUGGACAAGGCAGAGGCCAGCUCCUGAGGGAUCAGAGUGACGCCGCUGCUGAGCAGGAAGGGCCCAAGGGGAGGAGAGAGACGGAGAUAAAUGAGCCCCUGUGUGUCCGGCCGAGCAUCUUGACUGUGUAAAGGAGAAUCAGCACUUGGCUUGCAGGGAGCCGUGAGGGGUUCUACAUGGUACUUCCUGGCCAGAACUUGGUUUUGCUCAGAUGAGACAAAAAGACACACAAGUCAGAUAUCAAAUAAUGCAAGCCACUGGGGACCAAGGACUUCCCUAGAAGAGAAGAAAAGAAAUUGAAUAUUCUGGUCUUCACCUUGGGACUCAAAGUUUACUUUCGACUUGAACAUGGAUGAGAUGUCUGGAGCUGAAGCAGCCAUUAUUUAUCCAAGAGAAUAGCUGUGGUUGGCCCUGAGCUCAUUAAAACCUGGGUCAGCAACUACCAACCUCUAGGCCUUCUGGUUGGAUUCCCCCCCCAGAAGCUGACCUUGGGACAAGGAUUCUAGCACAAGCUGUUUCUUGGGAAGGCGACCCAAGGAAACACUAGGAAGGAGCUGGAGAGUGGGUGAGACAGGAAAGGAAGGCAGCCCACGCCAGCCCUGAACAUGCUCAAUUAAAACAAAGAAAAAAAUACCCUGCCUGGGUUUAAGUGGAUCCUCCUGAUGCAUACAUGCUUAGAAGCUGAAGUGUCCAGAAGCUAUUCAGACUGGGAAGCAGUUUGGAAGACGCAUGAUGGCAGCCCCAUUGUGGGACACUGCCAACCCACGGCCAUCUCGCUCAGGAGGGUCCUCCAGUCUGCACACGCUUUCCUGCUCAGCGGGCAAGUCCUUCUGCCUUCCUGUCCGAUUACCUGGCCCGACUACGAGGUCCUGUUCCCUCACCAAGGCCCGUCCAACUCCUGAUCGGCUGAUUACUCCGUGCAGAGCCUUCACCAGCAGGAGACUGCCUUGGCAGCCCGCGCCUGCCCGUGGCCAGCCCAGAUUGGUGGCACCUCCCCGCCCUCACCGGCUGCCGCCAGGGUUUGCUUUGUUUUUGUUUCUGUUGGCUCUGUUUGGAGUCUACAGAUGUGGUCAGACCGGAGAGGAGUAGGGGCGCGGGGGCUGCCAGCAAAGGGGAGAAUAAAAGAGCCAAUCAUUUCUG
ensembl:lncRNA